rnacentral:rRNA from 1 species
UGAACGCUAGUGACAUGCCUUACACAUGCAAGUUGAAUGGUUAAAUUUUUUUUUACCCAUAGCGAACGGGUGUAGAAUAUGUGGGAAUCUGCCUUAUAAUUUGGGAUAAUCAUACUGAUUAAAUUUUUUAAUUGGGAAUUAUUAUGUUUACCAUAAUAAGUGAAAAUACCGAAUAGCAUAAUAAAAGCUUGUUUAUGACAUAGUCAUUGCUUUAUGUAAAAGAGCAUUAUCGUUAUAAGAUGAGCCCACACAGGAUUAGGUAGUUGGUAGGGUAAAGGCCUACCAAGCCAAAGAUCCUUAGCUGGUCUGAAAGGAUGUACAGCCACACUGGGACUGAGACACGGCCCAGACUCCGUUAGGAGGCAGCAGUGAGGAAUAUUGGACAAUGAGCGAAAGCUUGAUCCAGCAAUGUCACAAAAAGGAAGACGGCUAAGAUAUAGGGUCCUAAACUUUAUUCGUAGGGG